AAUAUCCAUCAUUUUAAGCUGGCAGGAAUAACUCCAUUAAUUCCCUACAGUUACAGAGGCAGAACUUUGGGGUUUAGUAAAACACCAUAAACUGUCUUGUACCGGCCAUUUGAGGGUCCAUUUAGUUUCCAGCUCUCCUCUCUCUCCCUGCUUCAGAAAGCAAAUAUCAAACACACAUGGAUAUCUGUGAAGAUUAUAUUGCUUCAGCAUUUUCUACAUACAACUAAAAGUAUUCGGCACUCAGGAUAUAGCUGAUAGUUAUUUCGAGAUGCACAAUAUAUAAGUUCAGUCUGCAGGACAUGUAGGCCAGUGUGAUUACGCUUUUCCCUAUCCUGGCUUCUCGAUGGAGGGUCCUUGUACAGCUGCUGGAAUCGCAGGUAGUUGCUGGGCAAAAACAUCUUACACAAAACAAUGCAAUGGAAAAUCAGGUUAGUUUCUCCCCAUGUAGCAGCGUACGCCAAACUCUUGAGAUGUUGCCCGCAGAAAAACAACACUUCGGAGAUACGCCUAUCGUUGUCGGGAUCGGAAGAGAUCAUUAUUGGCUAAAUUAUGGGCAUGAUCGAUCUGGAAUUUCAGCAAGGGCCGCCAGAUGUAGUGGACUUGAUGAAACCGAAUCCACAGCUACAUAACCGAAUCAAACAGAGAAGGGAGGGGGAGGGGAAAGGGGCGCACCUUCCCGUGUGCUAGGAGACGUGCUCGACGGAUCUGGUCGGUAGGGAAGAGGAGAGGGCCUACCCACCAGCCAUGUCGCCGGAGAUGUCCGCGUCGGGAUGGUUCGCCUUGAUGAAGGAGCAUUCGCCUUGA
rnacentral:lncRNA from 1 species